UACGUAGGGGGCAAGCGUUGUCCGGAAUUAUUGGGCGUAAAGAGCGUGUAGGCGGCUCGGUAAGUCUGCUGUGAAAGUCCAAGGCUCAACCUUGGAAUGCCGGUGGAUACUGUCGAGCUCGAGUCCGGAAGAGGCGAGUGGAAUUCCUGGUGUAGCGGUGAAAUGCGCAGAUAUCAGGAGGAACACCGGUGGCGAAGGCGGGUCUCUGGGCCGAUACUGACGCUGAGGAGCGAAAGCAUGGGGAGCGAACAGG
rnacentral:rRNA from 1 species